AACGAACGCUGGCGGCAUGCCUAACACAUGCAAGUCGAACGAGACCUUCGGGACUACUUGCUCACGCGUGCGUAACGCGUGGGAACCUUCCCUUAUGUUCGGAAUAACUCCCCUUCAGGGGUGCUAAUACCGGAUAAUGUCCUCUGACACCAGAUUUAUCGCCAUUGGAUGAGCCGGCGUUGGAUUAGCUAGUUGGUAUGGUAAAAGCCUACCAAGGCUACGAUCCAUAGCUGGUCUGAGAGGAUGAUCAGCGACACUGGGACUAGGACACGGCCGAGAAUAUUAGGGGAGGGAGCAGAGGGUAAUAUUGGAAAAUGGGGGAAGGCAUGAAGGAGCAAUGCCGCGUAAGUGAUGAAGGCCGUAGGGUAGUAAAGCACUUUUACCCGGGAUGAUAAUGACAGUACCGGAAGAAUAAGCUCCGGCUAACUCCGUG
rnacentral:rRNA from 1 species